rnacentral:rRNA from 1 species
AUGCGCUAUCUGAAAGGUACUAUGAACUAUGGACUUCACUAUACCGGAUACCCGUCGGUACUUGAAGGGUAUAGUGAUGCGAAUUGGAUCUCUGAUGCUGAUGAGAUGAAGGCCACAACUGGGUAUAUGUUUACUCUUGGAGGUGGCACUGUUUCCUGGAAGUCUUGCAAGCAAACGAUCUUAACGAGAUCGACAAUGGAAGCAGAAUUAACGGCAUUAGACACAUCUGGUGUUGAAGCGAGAUGGCUUCGAGAUCUUUUGAUGGACUUGCCAUUGGUUGAUAAACCGGUUCCGGCUAUCCUUAUGAACUGUGACAAUCAGACUGUCAUCACCAAGGUGAAGAGUUCAAAGGACAACAUGAAGUCCACCAAACACAUAAGAAUGAGAUUAAAAGCUGUCAGAAAAUUAAGAAACUCCGGAGUGAUAGCGUUGGACUAUGUCCAUACGGCUAAGAAUCUGGCAGAUCCCUUUACAAAAGGGCUAUCACGUGUUGUGAUAGAUAAUGCAUCGAGGGAGAUGGGUAUGAGACCCACAUGA